rnacentral:rRNA from 1 species
AGUGAACGCUGGCGGUAGACCUAACACAUGCAAGUCGAACGGCAGCACAGUAAGAGCUUGCUCUUACGGGUGGCGAGUGGCGGACGGGUGAGGAAUACAUCGGAAUCUACUUUUUCGUGGGGGAUAACGUAGGGAAACUUACGCUAAUACCGCAUACGACUUACGGGUGAAAGCAGGGGAUCUUCGGACCUUGCGCGAUUGAAUGAGCCGAUGUCGGAUUAGCUAGUUGGCGGGGUAAAGGCCCACCAAGGCGACGAUCCGUAGCUGGUCUGAGAGGAUGAUCAGCCACACUGGAACUGAGACACGGUCCAGACUCCUACGGGAGGCAGCAGUGGGGAAUAUUGGACAAUGGGCGCAAGCCUGAUCCAGCCAUACCGCGUGGGUGAAGAAGGCCUUCGGGUUGUAAAGCCCUUUUGUUGGGAAAGAAAAGCAGCAGGUUAAUACCCCGCUGUUCUGACGGUACCCAAAGAAUAAGCACCGGCUAACUUCGUG